rnacentral:rRNA from 1 species
UGAAGUUACAAAGGGCGUAUGGUGAAUGCCUUGGGAAUAGGAGA